rnacentral:miRNA from 1 species
UAUUGCACUUACCCCGGCCUGG